rnacentral:rRNA from 1 species
UGUGAACUGCAGGACACAUGAACACCGACAAGUUGAACGCAUAUUGCGCAUCGGACGUCUCAACCCGACCGAUGCACACAUCCUUGAGUGCCUACCAAGUUGUCAAUAUCCUAUUAUCAAACUGACUGUCCCACCUCGAGAUGGGCUGUCGCAGCAUGGCGUGCUCGGACCCGCGACCGACGGGACCUUGGGCGCUGAAUACUAUGAGAGUGUUAAUAGAAGACAUAUACGGGUUCAAAUGGUGAGAGAUGGACGGGCGCGCGCGUAUCGCACGGUUCGACUUACAGUAUCAACCCGGGAUGAAACCCCCGCAGCCUAUCACCAGGCGCUAGCAAAGGGGUCCUAGGUUGGCUAGGGUCGUGUAACACGGGGAGGUACAACCGCGCUCGGAAUCUCCGACCAACAUACGGGAAUAACACUUCUCACUAUCUGAUAUUAGCACAGUAGGCCUCAAGUGAUGUGUGACGACCCCCUGAAUUUAAGCAUA